rnacentral:rRNA from 1 species
UACGGAGGAGGCAAGCGUUAUCCGGAAUUAUUGGGCGUAAAGCGUCCGUAGGUGGCUCUUCAAGUCUGCUGUCAAAGAGUGGGGCUUAACCCUGCAAAGGCAGUGGAAACUGAAAGGCUAGAGAGCCGUAGGGGUAGAGGGAAUUCCCGGUGUAGCGGUGAAAUGCGCAGAUAUCAGGAAGAACACCCGUGGCUAAGGCGGCUCUCUAGUACGGUACUGACGCUGAGACGCGAAAGCGUGGGGGGCGAACAGG